AUUGAACGCUGGCGGCAUGCCUUACACAUGCAAGUCGAACGGUAACGGGCCUUCGGGUGCCGACGAGUGGCGAACGGGUGAGUAAUACAUCGGAACGUGCCCGAUCGUGGGGGAUAACGAGGCGAAAGCUUUACUAAUACCGCAUACGAUCUACGGAUGAAAGCAGGGGACCGCAAGGCCCUGCGCGGACGGAGCGGCCGAUGGCAGAUUAGGUAGUUGGUGGGAUAAAAGCUUACCAAGCCGACGAUCUGUAGCUGGUCUGAGAGGAUGAUCAGCCACACUGGGACUGAGACACGGCCCAGACUCCUACGGGAGGCAGCAGUGGGGGAUUUUGGGCAAUGGGCGCAAGCCUGAUCCAGCCAUGCCGCGUGCAGGAUGAAGGCCUUCGGGUUGUAAACUGCUUUUGUACAGAACGAAAAGCCUUCUUCUAAUACAGGAGGGUCAUGACGGUACCGUAAGAAUAAGCACCGGCUAACUACGUGCCAGCCGCCGCGGUAA
rnacentral:rRNA from 1 species